AAGAACCCCGGGAGGGGAGUGAAAUAGAACCUGAAACCCUGCACUUACAAGCUGUGGGAGCACAUUACUUGUGUGACCGCGUACUUUUUGUAGAACGGGCCAACGAGUUACGUUAAGUAGCAAGGUUAAGCACUUAAGGUGUGGAGCCGUAGCGAAAGCGAGUCUUAAAUGGGCGAUUAAGUUACUUGGCGUAGACCCGAAACCGGGCGACCUAUCCAUGAGCAGGUUGAAGCGAAAGUAAAAUUUCGUGGAGGACCGAACCCACGAGCGUUGAAAAGCUCGGGGAUGACUUGUGGAUAGCGGUGAAAUUCCAAUCGAGCCCGGAGAUAGCUGGUUCUCCCCGAAAUAGCUUUAGGGCUAGCCUCAAGCGUAGAGAAACGGAGGUAGAGCACUGAAUGUCCUAGGGGGUAUUGCACUUACCGAAGACUAUCAAACUCCGAAUGCCGUUUUCUUUUACUUGGGAGUCAGACUGUGGGUGAUAAGAUUCAUAGUCAAAAGGGCAACAGCCCAGAUCGUCAGCUAAGGUCCCUAAAUGUACGUUAAGUGGUAAAGGAUGUGGGAUUGCACAGACAACCAGGAUGUUGGCUUAGAAGCAGCCACUCAUUUAAAGAGUGCGUAAUAGCUCACUGGUCGAGUGAUCCUGCGCCGAAAAUUUCCGGGGCUAAAACGUACUACCGAAGCUACGGCAUCAUUUAUGAUGGGUAGGGGAGCUUCGUAUGCAGGCUGAAGCAUGACCGUAAGGACAUGUGGACAGUAUACGAGUGAGAAUGUUGGCAUGAGUAGCGAGACGUGGGUGAGAAUCCCACGGGCCGUAAACCCAAGGUUUCCAGGGGAAGGUUCGUCCGCCCUGGGUUAGUCGGGACCUAAGCCGAGGCCGAAAGGCGUAGGUGAUGGACAACAGGUUGAUAUUCCUGUACCGCCAAUAAGCGUUUGAGAGAUGGAGUGACACAGUAGGAUAAGCUAACCGUACUGUUGGUUAUGUACGGCUAAGCAUUGAGGCAGUCUAAAUAGGCAAAUCCGUUUAGACAAUGCUAGGAUGUGAUGGGGAAGCCCUUCGGGGCGAAGUAGCUGAUUUCACACUGUCAAGAAAAGCUUCUAUCGAGUUUAAAGGCGCCCGUACCGUAAACCGACACAGGUGGGUGAGGAGAGUAUCCUAAGGCCAGCGAGAGAACUAUUGUUAAGGAACUCGGCAAAAUGACCCCGUAACUUAGGGAGAAGGGGUGCCUGUCUAGACAGGCCGCAGAGAAUAGGCCCAAGCGACUGUUUACCAAAAACACAGGUUUCUGCUAAGUCGCAAGACGAUGUAUAGGAGCUGACGCCUGCCCGGUGCUGGAAGGUUAAGGGGAUCUGUUAGAGCAAUCGAAGCAGUGAACUUAAGCCCCAGUAAACGGCGGCCGUAACUAUAACGGUCCUAAGGUAGCGAAAUUCCUUGUCGGGUAAGUUCCGACCCGCACGAAAGGCGUAACGAUUUGGGCACUGUCUCAACAAUAGACUCGGUGAAAUUGUAAUCCCGGUGAAGAUGCCGGGUACCUGCGACAGGACGGAAAGACCCCAUGGAGCUUUACUGUAGCUUGACGUUGGGUCUUGGUACUACAUGUACAGGAUAGGUGGGAGACUAUGAAGCAUGGACGCCAGUCUGUGUGGAGUCAUCCUUGGGAUACCACCCUUGUAGUACUGGGAUCCUAACCAUAGGCCUUGAAUCAGGUCUUGGAACACCGUCAGGUGGGCAGUUUGACUGGGGCGGUCGCCUCCUAAAAAGUAACGGAGGCGCUCAAAGGUUUCCUCAGCACGGUCGGAAAUCGUGCGAAGAGUGUAAAGGCAAAAGGAAGCUUGAUUGCAAGACAUACAGGUCGAGCAAGGACGAAAGUCGGACUUAGUGAUCCGGUGGUACCGCAUGGAAGGGCCAUCGCUCAACGGAUAAAAGCUACCCUGG
rnacentral:rRNA from 1 species